ensembl:lncRNA
CAUGUAAACGCCACAGUCCGACUGCCUGAUUGAGAUUAAGACAAUAUUCUGCAACACGAAUAUAGAGCUUAAAUGGAAUUUGGGUAGGGUUAGGGGUUAGGGUUAGGGUUUGGGGUUAGGGUUAGGGUUUGGGUUAGGGGUUAGGGUUAGGAGUUAGGGUUGGGGUUAGGGGUUAGGGUUAGGAUUAGGGUUAUGGGCUAGUGUUAGGGUUGGGGUUAGGGUUAGCGGUUAGGGUUAGGGGUUAAGGUUUGGGGUUAGGGGUUAGGGUUAGGAUUAGGGUUAUGGGCUAGUGUUAGGGUUGGGGUAGAGUUUAGGGGUUAGGGUUAUGGGUUAGGGUUAGGGGUUAAGGUUUGGGGUUAGGGUUAGGGGUUAGAAUUAUCUCCCUGAGACGACACGAGGAAGAAAAGACGAAUCAAACAUAAAAGCGAACACAUCCUUUUCUGGGUCACAGCGGAUAGUGCUAUUAUAAAUCAUUACUCAUCUCCAGCUGCAUACUCUAAAGUUAAACAGUAUUACGUGUGUUGAAAAGAUUUUCAGUUCGAGCAUCACAGUCUUUAUGAUAACAGCAACAGUUCUUAGGUACAAAUCAGCGUGUACAGGUAAGAUUACACUGAAGCGCUGAGGCGAGGGAGAGAUCAUCAACAGCAGCAGAAUAAGUAAGUAUUCAUUUCUGUAACAGAAAUUCUGCUUAGAAUUCCCAUGACUCUUUGUUUCUUUUUAGUGUUCAUUACACUGACUUUGUUAUAUAUUUAUCUAUAUAUCUAAAACAACUCAUCAUCAUCAUCAUCAUCCUGUCUCAGUUGUAAAUCAUAAAUUCUGUGCCAAACAGGAUAUAAUGUAAUGUAAUGUACAUUCUAAAUCAAUUUUUCUCAAACUUUUUAAAGCUAGGGUAAAAUGAAUUCUGGUACCCCCUCAUUACAGAUUUAUUCCAUGAACAUUAUUUAAAUGUCUACAAUAUACACGGUAUACACCAUCCACUUUAUUACCAUCCACCUGUACACCUACACAUUCAUGCAGUUAUAUAAUCAGCCAUUCUGUGUAAACUCUAGAGACUGUUGUGUGUGAAAAUCACAGGAGAUCAGCAGUAUCUGAAAUACUCAAUCCAGCCCAUCUGGCACCAAAAACCAUGCCACGGAUAAAGUCACACAGAUUAAAAUUUCCCCCCGCAUUUUGAUGUUUGAUGUGAGUAUUAACUGAAGCUCUGGACUUGUAACUGCAUAAUUGCAUGCAUUGUGCUUCUGCGACGUGAUUGGCUGAUCAGAUAAGGUCCAGGUGUACAUGUUUUCCUAAUAAAGUGGACAGUGAGUGCAUAUUUUCUCUAAUUAUUAGAGCCAUAAAGUGUUCUACUCCUGAACGUCCCACUCGAGAAACACAAUACGUCAAAUCUCAUUCUAGUUACAGAUCAGCAUGUUUGAGCGUCUACUGUUUGACGUAAAACACGCAGUCAAACAAGUUAACAGGAAACAUGUUCAUCAGUUAUAAAUGCAACAACUGGUAAUUGUGCGCUUUGUUUUCCGUCACUUUAGCAAAAAAAAUUAAAAACCAUGGGAAAUCCUUUUUCCUUUUCUAAAAAUCCCAAUGUAUUUCCUUUCCCUAUUUAAUUUGCAUCCUUUGAACUACAAGCAAAUGUUGGACUGGUUCCACUAAAAUAUUUAAACAAGACACAUAGAGAACUCACCUGAUCGUCCAGCCCUGCAUGUCACAAGACUGGUUUUACACACACACAACCACACACACACACACAGAUAUAUAUAUA